CACAAAGAUGCUUUAUCCAACUUACCUGCUGUGUCUAUUGUUGUGCUAUAUUCAGUGUUCCUGGGGACAAAUUGUGCUGACUCAGUCUGCAGAUGUCACUGUGUCACCUGGUGAAAGUGUCACCAUAACAUGUAAAGCCAGUAGUAGUGUUAGCGGCUACUUAGCCUGGUACAAACAGAAUCCAGGACAACGUCCAAUGCUUCUUAUCUAUGAUACAAGCAACAAACACACAGGGACCCCAGACAGGUUCAGCGGCAGUGGGUCUGGUACUGAUUACACUCUCACAAUCAGCGGAGUGCAAGCAGAAGAUGCAGCAGAUUAUUACUGUCAGCAGCGUUACAGCUUACCUCUCACACUUCUAGGUGCCAUAGUAGCCUGCUUCUCCAUACUGCUUAAGUCUGCUUGCCUUCCCAUCUCCUGCAAGCCUUACCGGUCUGUCUCAACCUUACCUACAUCCUCAUCAUCAGGGGCCAAGGAGUCUGACUGCCGCUUGCUGCACGCAUUAUCUGACCUGGUUAAAUCAGAAGGAUUCUUGUAA